rnacentral:rRNA from 1 species
UACGUAGGUGGCGAGCGUUGUCCGGAUUUACUGGGCGUAAAGGGCGCGCAGGCGGUCGUUCAAGUCGGAUGUGAAAGCCCCCGGCUCAACUGGGGAGGGUCAUUCGAUACUGAUCGACUCGAAGGCAGGAGAGGGAAGCGGAAUUCCCGGUGUAGUGGUGAAAUGCGUAGAUAUCGGGAGGAACACCAGUGGCGAAGGCGGCUUCCUGGCCUGUUCUUGACGCUGAGGCGCGAAAGCUAGGGGAGCAAACGGG